GACGAACGCUGGCGGCGUGCUUAACACAUGCAAGUCGAACGGAAAGGCCCUGCUUUUGUGGGGUGCUCGAGUGGCGAACGGGUGAGUAACACGUGAGUAACCUGCCCUUGACUUUGGGAUAACUUCAGGAAACGGGGGCUAAUACCGGAUAGGAGCUCCUGCUGCAUGGUGGGGGUGGGAAAGUUUCGGCGGUUGGGGAUGGACUCGCGGCUUAUCAGCUUGUUGGUGGGGUAGUGGCUUACCAAGGCUUUGACGGGUAGCCGGCCUGAGAGGGUGACCGGCCACAUUGGGACUGAGAUACGGCCCAGACUCCUACGGGAGGCAGCAGUGGGGAAUAUUGCACAAUGGGCGGAAGCCUGAUGCAGCAACGCCGCGUGCGGGAUGACGGCCUUCGGGUUGUAAACCGCUUUCGCCUGUGACGAAGCGUGAGUGACGGUAAUGGGUAAAGAAGCACCGGCUAACUACGUG
rnacentral:rRNA from 1 species